rnacentral:rRNA from 1 species
GACGAACGCUGGCGGCAGGCCUAACACAUGCAAGUCGAGCGCCCAGCAAUGGGAGCGGCAGACGGGAUAGUAACACGUGGGAACGUACCUUUCAGUUCGGAACAACCCAGGGAAACUUGGGCUAAUACCGAAUACGUCCGUAAGGAGAAAGAUUUAUCGCUGGAAGAUCGGCCCGCGUCUGAUUAGCUAGUUGGUGAGGUAAUGGCUCACCAAGGCGACGAUCAGUAGCUGGUCGAGAGGAUGAUCAGCAUCACUGGGACUGAGACACGGCCCAGACUCCUACGGGAGGCAGCAGUGGGGAAUAUUGGACAAUGGCGCAAGCCUGAUCCAGCCAUGCCGCGUGGAUGAUGAAGGCCUUAGGGUUGUAAAGUCCUUUCGGCGGGGAAGAUAAUGACGGUACCCGCAGAAGAAGCCCCGCUAACUUCGUGCCAGCCGCCGCAGUAAC